GUGCUCGCUUCAGCAACACAUAUACUAACAUUGGAACGAUAUAGAGAAGAUUAACAUGGCCCCUGCAAAAGGAUGACAUGAAAAUUCUUGAAGUGUUCCAUAUUUUU